UGCCAGCAGCCGCGGUAAUACCAGCGCCACGAGUGGGGAUCCUGUUUAUUUGGCCUAAAGCGUCCGUAGCUGGUUACGUAAAUCUCUUGUGAAAUUGUUCGGCUUAACCGAGCAGCGUGCAGGGGAGACUGCGUAGCUAGGGACCGGGAGGAGUUAGGGGUAUGCCGGGGGGAGCGGUAAAAUGCUAUAAUCCUCGGUGGAUCACCUGUGGCGAAGGCGCCUAACUAGAACGGGUCCGACAGUGAGGGACGAAAGCCAGGGGAGCAAACCGGAUUAGAUA
rnacentral:rRNA from 1 species